rnacentral:rRNA from 1 species
CCUACGUGAGGCUGCAGUGAGGAAUAUUGGUCAAUGGGCGCGAGCCUGAACCAGCCAAGUAGCGUGAAGGCUGACUGCCCUACGGGUUGUAAACUUCUUUUAUAAAGGAAUAAAGUGAGGCACGUGUGCCUUUUUGUAUGUACUUUAUUAAUAAGGAUCGGCUAACUCCGUGCCAGCAGCCGCGGUAAGCCGGCGGAUCCGAGCGUUAUCCGGAUUUAUUGGGUUUAAAGUGAGCGUAGAUGGGUUGUUAAGUCAGUUGUUAAAGUUUGCGGCUCAACCGUAAAAUUGCAAUUGAUACUGGCAGUCUUGAGUACAGUUGAGGUAGGCGGAAUUCGUGGUGUAGCGGUGAAAUGCUUAGAGAUCACGAAGAACUCCGAUUGCGAAGGCAGCUUACUAAACUGCCACUGACAUUGAUGCUCGAAAGUGUGGGUAUCAAACAGGAUUAGAUACCCGGGUAGUC